UUUACACAAGGUUGACCUCGGAUCAGGUAGGAAUACCCGCUGAACUUAAGCAUAUCAAUAAGCGGAGGAAAAGAAACCAACAGGGAUUGCCCCAGUAACGGCGAGUGAAGCGGCAACAGCUCAAAUUUGAAAUCUGGCUUCGGCCCGAGUUGUAAUUUGUAGAGGAUGCUUUUGGUGAGGUGCCUUCUGAGUUCCCUGGAACGGGACGCCAGAGAGGGUGAGAGCCCCGUAUAGUUGGCACCGAMCCUCUGUAAAGCUCCUUCGACGAGUCGAGUAGUUUGGGAAUGCUGCUCAAAAUGGGAGGUAUAUCUCUUCUAAAGCUAAAUACUGGCCAGAGACCGAUAGCGCACAAGUAGAGUGAUCGAAAGAUGAAAAGCACUUUGAAAAGAGGGUUAAAUAGUACGUGAAAUUGUUGAAAGGGAAGCGCUUGUGACCAGACUUGUGCCCGGCUGAUCAUCCAGUGUUCUCACUGGUGCACUCUGCCGGGCUCAGGCCAGCGUCGG
rnacentral:rRNA from 1 species